rnacentral:rRNA from 1 species
AUUGAACGCUGGCGGCAUGCUUUACACAUGCAAGUCGAACGGCAGCGGGGUAGUGCUUGCACUACUGCCGGCGAGUGGCGAACGGGUGAGUAAUAUAUCGGAACGUACCGAGUAAUGGGGGAUAACCAAUCGAAAGAUUGGCUAAUACCGCAUACGUCCUGAGGGAGAAAGCGGGGGAUCGCAAGACCUCGCGUUAUUCGAGCGGCCGAUAACUGAUUAGCUAGUUGGUGGGGUAAAGGCCUACCAAGGCGACGAUCAGUAGCGGGUCUGAGAGGACGAUCCGCCACACUGGGACUGAGACACGGCCCAGACUCCUACGGGAGGCAGUAGUGGGGAAUUUUGGACAAUGGGGGCAACCCUGAUCCAGCCAUGCCGCGUGUAUGAAGAAGGCCUUCGGGUUGUAAAGUACUUUUGUUAGGGAAGAAAAGGGAAGUGCUAAUACCACUUUUUGCUGACGGUACCUAAAGAAUAAGCACCGGCUAACUACGUG